rfam:Treponema maltophilum ATCC 51939 genomic scaffold aczIZ-supercont-complete, whole genome shotgun sequence.
GGAGCGGUGUCCGAGUGGUUUAAGGAGGCGGUCUUGAAAACCGUUGUGCUGCAAGGUACCGGGGGUUCGAAUCCCCCCUGCUCCG